CAUGCUUUUGUGUAAGUGCUAAGCUCUAGUGUCUAACGUUUGCAAUGGUUUGUAGCUUCCGUGCAUGCAUUUGUGUUAGCUAUAGGCUAGUGGCUAACUCUGGCUACAUUUUUUAGCUUUGUGCAUGCGUUUGUUAGCUCUUGGCUAGUGGCUAACUGCGGCUAUUGUUUGUAGCAUUUGUGCAUGGCAUGCUGAUUUAGUUUUGACUGGUUAUAACUGGGGCUUUGAAUAUGUGCAUGUUUUGGUUAGCUAGUCUAGUGGCUGUGACUUGGCAGUUGAUUUAUUGGUUCUCUUUAGCGUACUGAUGUUGACUAUGGGGGUGUUUGAGCAUAUGUGUUUUGUGCAGGGUAGAGGAUAGUUGGGGUUUUCUCAAGCUAACAAGGAUAAGUUAUGUCAGGUGGCAGAAAUGUUGGAGGUUGAAAUAGCAGAGGAGUUUAACAAGUUAGGUGUUGCAAUGCUGUUAUGAGAGAAGUGGACUGAGUUCUUGCUGCUAGUUCGGGUGAAAAGGAGUCAGGAGGCAGAAUACGAGGCUAGAACAAGAAAUAGCAUUCCUAAAACAGGAUAAAUCAAAUCAAAUCCAAAUGUAUUGGUCACACAUAUUUAGCAGAGGGAAAUGUUUGUAAUUUCCACCAGUGAUCAGGUUUGUGUAACCCCUUGUGAUAAGUCAGGUGUGUCAGGGGGUGGAGUCUCUCAGGGAGAGUUUUGAGGUAUCCCCAGUGUGUGAGUGUUACUCAGGUUCAGAAGAGUGCUGAUGGCAAACCAGAUAGGAGGAGGAUGAUUUGUGUGGGGACUUGGAGGAAACAUUCUUUGCCAAGCUAGACCGUGGGUCCAGGAAAUGGUCCUCUACAGUGAUGAAGGGGAUUCUUGUGUGUCUCUAGCUGAGAAUUAUUAGGCAGAAAUAUGUGACCCGUUUCGGCGUAUGUUGCAAGUCACGACUUCACUGCAAAGCCGUUUGAACGUUAAAAAUAUAUUUGAUCAAAAUGUGUUUUGGGGCAGAAAUUCCUUCUCCAACUUGUGAACAUUCAUGUGCCUUUAAUAACAAACGUGUAUUUUUUAUUUAAACAAAAUAAAAAAUAUAUAUUUCACUUUCAUUAACUAGGCAAGUCCAUUAAGAACAAAUUCUUAUUUACAAUGACGGCCUACACCGGCAAAACCCGGACGAUGCUGAGCCAAUUGUGUGCCGCCCUAUGGGACUCCCAAUCACAUCAAGUUGUCAUACAGCCUGGAUGAGUGGGCUGGACAUGCCGAGAGAUGAGUUUCAGAAUGUUCUGCGGUGUAGCAUCUUGUGUCUAUAAAAUGAGCUGCUCGUUAUGCGUAUAUAAUCCUUUCUACUGCAGUUUUUUUUAAAGAUACAACGUUAGCCAUGGAGAACUGCAAAUAUGUUGCUACUGCUCUCAAUAACAUUUCUGCCCUGAAUUUAUCAGGCGCUAUCAACAAAGGUCAGUGGGGAAAAGUUGCGAUGGACUACUUUCUGGAGGACGAUCCUGCAGAUCGUGCCAUGCGGAGUCUCUCUGACUCUGAAAAUGUAUCAGACGAUGAGGAUUUAGGUUAAAACAUUUUCAUUGAAGAAGACAUUGUAGAGUCUUCUGAUGACAGAGAUGGGGAAGAAACGGCGAUCCACGUGUAUGAACUGUGUGUAACGAACACGCAUGGCUCUCCUCCACCAGUCAUACAAAGAGAAUGUUCUAAUGCCUACCAUCAAAAAGAGAGCUGGCCAAAGCAAGCAAAGAUUACUUGCAGCAAGUGCUGAACUUCAUCAACAACUACGCCGAGGAUCAUGCAAUAGUAUUACCAAGACGCCACCCAAGACAAACACUUUGGUGGAAAGGUGCUACCCUCCCUUGUGACAAAAGCAGCAGUGUGGCUGGAAUCAAUGACAACACUUGCAAACAGUAUGAACCUUCAGAAAGACCAGAGUGAACACUUUGUCUGAAAUUGCUGGUGUUGUGAAGGACAGCACUGUGACAGGGGCCAACAUCUGGUUGGACUGGAUGAUGAUACAGUGCUGGUGGAAAGCUAUGGCUUGCAACAACACCUGACACUGUACUUCAGGCCGCUGCCACGGAUCAAGCAAUACCAGCACUUCAGCUUCAAUGCUCUGAAACCUGGUGUUGUUGUCGCCAAGGAGCGUUCGGACUGUCGGGACCAGGUUUCAGCUGCUGUGCAACGCUGACAUCCUUCCUCUCAUAGAUGGUUUGCCUGUAAAAGCACCACCUGGACUGGACACAGCUAGAGAAUAACUGGUUCGGACGGACUAGUUAUCAGCACUAUCUGCAGUGCCUCAAUUGACCCUUUCAACACACAUACUGCUACUAUUUGUUUUAUUAUCCUGCUGCUCAGCCACUUUACCCCUGAUUGUAUGCAUAUAACUUACCUCGUCUAACACUAUCGUUAUUGAUAUUGUUCUUGUACAUACUGUAUAUUAUUUUAUUUAUAUUGACACUAUCUAUUUCUGAUAUUGUUACUAUGCAAGUAACCAUUUGUCUGUACCGUUUACACCUUCUGUAGAGACCCAUCCACUUAGCAAGAGUUAGCAAAAUAUUGAUAUAUAAAAUUAAUAUUGAUGUGUGGUCGUAACAUUAUUUUGUGACAUACCACAACAAUAUCAUGUGACCGUAUCAAGUGUCUACCACAUAAAUUAUUAUUUAAAUAUAUGGUGCAUGCAUCUGUUUAUGUACUGUACAUGUGCACCUCACUCAGGUUUCAACUCGGGUUGCAUGGCCUUAACUUGCAUGUGUAACAGUAUAUCAAGUAUGUUAAUGUACUGGUAUGAAGGCAUUUGGGCAGUGGUGUAAAGUACUUCAGUAAAAAUACAUUAAAGUACUAUUUAUGGGGGGUAUCUGUACAUUACUUUACUAUUUAUAUUUUUGGCAACUUUUACUUUUACUUCACUACAUUUCUAA